UACGUAGGGGGCUAGCGUUGUCCGGAAUCAUUGGGCGUAAAGAGCGUGUAGGCGGUCCGGUAAGUCCGCUGUGAAAGUCGGGGGCUCAACCCUCGAAUGCCGGUGGAUACUGUCGGGCUAGAGUGCGGAAGAGGCGAGUGGAAUUCCUGGUGUAGCGGUGAAAUGCGCAGAUAUCAGGAGGAACACCUAUUGCGAAGGCAGCUCGCUGGGACGUAACUGACGCUGAUGCGCGACAGCGUGGGGAGCAAACGAGG
rnacentral:rRNA from 1 species